rnacentral:rRNA from 1 species
GUCUGUUGUCAAGAAGAACGUUCUUUAGAUUAACUGUUUACCCAGUGGGGGUAUUUAACCAAAAAGCCCCACGGCUAAAUUCGUUCCAGCAGCCGCGGUAAUAAAUAAGUGGCAAGCGUUAUCUGGAUUUAUUGGGGGUAAAGCGAGCGCAUGCGGUCUUUUAAGUCUCAUGUGAAAGACUUCGGCUCAUCCGAUGAAAUGCCUUGGAAACUGGGAAACUUGAGUGCAGAAGAGGGCAGGGGAAAUUCCAGGGAAUCGGUGAAAAGGGUAUAUAUUUGGAGAGGACUCCAGUGGGGAAAGCGGCCGUUUGGUCUGCAACUGACAGUGAGGCUCACAAGCGUGGGUAGCCAACCGGAUUAUAUUCCCUGGUAGUUCCAUGCCGUAAACAAAGGUUCCUAUAUGUGGGGAGGGUCUCGACCCUUCUAUGCUGCAACUAACGCAUUAAAUAAUCCGCCUGG